AACGAACGCUGGCGGCAUGCCUAACACAUGCAAGUCGAACGAGACCUUCGGGUCUAGUGGCGCACGGGUGCGUAACGCGUGGGAACCUGCCCUUAGGUUCGGCAUCUCUCCCCGAAAGGGGUGCUAAUACCGGCUCAUGUCUUCCGACCAAAGAUUGAUCGCCUUUGGAUGGGCCUGCGUUGGAUUAGCUUGUUGGUAGGGUAAAAGCCUAUCAAGGCGUGGAUCCCUAGAUGGGAGCAGAGGCUGAGCAGCGACACUGGGAGUGAGACACGGCCCGGACUCCUAGGCGAGGCAGGAGUGGGGAAUAUUGGAAUAGCGGCGGUAGCCUGAACCAGCAAGGCUGCGUGAGUGAUGAAGGCCUUAGGGAGGGAAAGCACGUUUACCCGGGAUGAUAUUGACGGUACCGGGAGAAUAAGCGCCGGCUAACUCCGUG
rnacentral:rRNA from 1 species